AGCGAACGCUGGCGGCGUGCUUAACACAUGCAAGUCGAGCGAAGGUGUUUCAAGGGUAACCUUGAGAUACACUUAGCGGCGGACGGGUGAGUAAUACGUGGAUAACUUACCUCUAGGCCUGGGAUAACCCCGGGAAACUGGGGCUAAUACCUGAUAAGACCACAUUGUCUACGGACGAAGGGGUAAAAGGUGGCUGUGCAAACAGCUAUCGCCAAAAGAUAGGUUCACGUCCCAUCAGGCAGUUGGUGAGGUAAUGGCUCACCAAACCAAAGACGGGUAGCCGGCCUUGGCGGGUGAACGGCCACACGGGGACUGAGACACGGCCCCGACUCCUACGGGAGGCAGCAGUGGGGAAUAUUGGGCAAUGGGCGCAAGCCUGACCCAGCGACGUCGCGUUGGGGAAGAAGGCCUUC
rnacentral:rRNA from 1 species